GAUUAUUACAACAUUUUACCUGGCAGAUGCCACCAUGUUGAUUGAUGUGAAAUCUCCCACCCUUCAUAUCAGCCACCAAAACCUACCUCUGUGAAGUUCUCUUGAAUGAGGGCCUUCUACGCACCCUUUUCCCCACAACCACUUACCGACAUGGGAACACGGUCAUAAUAUCCAGCAAUUUGCAAUACUACUGGAUGCUGUUGUACCUGAAUGGUCUCAGUAUAUGAGAAAAGCAAGGCCUACACAAGUAAGCAUCUUUAAUAAAUCCAUUUAUAUAGCUGGGGAAAGUGGGCAAGCUUUUGGGCU
rnacentral:lncRNA from 1 species